CUUGAGAAUUAUCAAUGGAUCAGAAAGUAUACGGUAACUUCAAAUCUAGCUUUCAUGACCUGCGACCCUUCGCCAUAUUGUUAGAGUGUCACGAUAGUGUCAGGCCAGUGUGAAGCUUCCGUGUCUCACAGAAAACACAUCAACAUGGAUGAAGCGAACACUCAACAGGGGACCUUCAGUGUAUCUGGGAUGAUGCUAGACAUGGAUUUCAGAGGACAGCACACCGUUACAGUAACAGAUCGAAGUGGCCACAGUUUGAACUUUCAACUUUUCCAAGGGGUACAUUACACACCUAUGUUUAAAGUCGAUCAACUUCAACAAAUCAGAGGAUUCAACAUGAGGCUAGAUGACAUAUACUUCUCUGGAUAUCCUCGUAUAGGGACAAACUGGACAUUCGAAAUGACAAGCAUGCUUCUUAAUGGUAAAGCUGAAACCAUCCAAAAAGCCAAGGAUCUCAUGGAAUAAACUCCUCAUGACGAACUAGCCCAGCUGCCAUCACCACGCAUCGUCAACUCUCACAUGAAGCUGUCCGACUCUCCAGAUGAUGU